CUCUUAGUUCAGCUCUUUCAUUGCAGGGCUUUUGGCAGGGAUUAUAAAGCGAUAAUUAGCUCAAAAUGCUUCUGCCAGGAUUUUAACACAAUUCUAACACAUUUCUGUCCAUUUUACCAUAAAUAGCCACCGUGGGAAACAUGUCUGGACAAGCGUUGCAGCUGCCACGGGUAAUAUUAGCGACGAGGGCGAUGGGAGCAUUUUGCCCACAUGAGUUGCUACCUGCUGCCGGGGAAUGUGCUGGGCACUGGCUCCGAUGGCAGCGGGGUCUUUUCGAAGAGUUUUGAAUGCACUUAAUCCUCUAGACCCAUGGGAAUGGGGUUCUUGGAGGAGGCCAGAGGCAUGAUGAACAUAAAUAAAACUAUUCCUGAGCUUAUGUUACUCAGCACAGUGGGGAAAGAUGGUCCAGAAAUUCCCAGCAGGAUGUGCUUCCCCCUGCCCGCAGGCCUUUCGUGCUUUGCUGUAUGACUUGAGCAAACACCUUUUUGUAAAAAGCAAAUCCAGCAGAUUUGGGGGUGUUUUGGGGAGGCCAGUGCACUCUCCCCCUUCCCCUUUACCCCCUUGCCCAUCAGCAGAUGGCUUAUGACUCCUGGAGCAGCUCAGAAAAGGCACAAACACCCUAGCAAAUAAAUCAGGGCUAGGGCUAGGGAGACGCACAGCUCCGUUGAGCUAAACAUUGCACUGAUAUUUUUAAACUCUUCCCUUUGCAGAAGCAAAGCUCACCGUGCCAGCCCUUGGCCUUUCCCAAUGAUGCUGCGGGAAGGCUCCGGCUUUUCAGACACGCCCUCCGUCUGCAGAAGAGCCACACAGAGCACAGCUCGUUACUCCCACGCAAAGUUUAAUGAGGACGUCUCGCACUUGCCACUUGGCAAUCGCAAGCACGGGGCGUUGAGGAAAGAGGCCGUGUUUCGGAUAUCGGCGGUUGCUGCUCUCGCCUCUGCCGGUCACCCUGGAGCAUCCCCUGCAAUGUUUAAGGCCGGCUGGAGGCGGCACAUUUUGUACUAAUGCAGUUUAAGAUGUUAUCAGGGAAGAGAUAAGGGCCAGCCUGAGCGCUUGGCUGGACAGACCCACAAGCAGGGCUUAAUUAAAAUUGCAGUGGCUGCUAUCGGAGGUGAAUGGGAGAAUGAGUAAAAGGCUGUGUUGGUGGCUUGGCAGUGCCCGGUGUUUUUGGAGAGCCGGAGGUGUCUGGGAGAGCAUGGCCGGUACCGCGGGAGGUGGCUGGCUGGGACGAGCAACCAGCAAUCUCUGCUCUGGGCCGAGCCUGGCUGUAAAUUUUGGAUUUGACUGCACAUGAGGAUGUGUGAGUUAAUCCAGCCCUGAUGCGACUAAAUCUACCCUUUGCCCAAACCCUUUUGGUGGAGUGACAGCAGUGUAGUCUGAAUGUGCUUUGCAAUUGCAUUAAGUGUGCUAGAAAAAAAAAAUCUGUCCCUGCUAUUUGUUUGCACUGUUUUUUACCUUAAGGCAUGGGGAAAAAUGGGGAGGAGGAAAAGGGAAAGGGGCUUUGGAGAUGAGGGAGCGCUGCCUCUUCUGUUUGUUAGCUGGGUUACUUUUGGGGGGAGCCUCCAAGCACCUGCUGCCUCAGUUCUGCAAUUUGGCCUCAUUUUUCAGAGGCAUGAAGGCCUUUGGAGAAGGUGCUAAGCGAGAGGGAGGUUUAUUGUGCCAUUUUUGGUCUUUCCACGGGGAACGUGACGCUGGGUAUUGAAUGAGAGGGUGGCUUUGGGCAGUGAAGCCCUGGCCACUUCUUUUUGCUUAAACUGAUACAGUUUUUAAGCUGUCAGUGGCUCUUUGCCACACGUGCUGUUUGUGAGGGGCUGGAGGUUUUUGGCUUCACAGCAAAUAAGCCUCUUUCCCCAUGGUUUCCCUUUUUCAAGGCACUGAUCUGAGGUUUCGCUCCUGCGGCGCCCUGCCGCUCCGUGGGCGUUACGACACUCGGUGUUCUCAGGCGCUGCUCUCCAGCUUGUUCGCUUUUUAAAGUCUUGUCUUUUCAUUAAAUGUAUAUUCUCCU
rnacentral:lncRNA from 1 species